CCCAAAAGGCCGUGGAAAGGAGAAAGGGCAAUGAGAGGAGUCCGGGGAGCGCUCGAGGCUGGGGCCCUGCCUCCCAGCUCUGGCCCGGCCUCUGCUUUCCGGCACCUGCUGCUGCGGCGCCCACGUGCGCGCAGGGCUGCGCGGGGCGUGGAAUGCUCACCGCGGUCCUGCCCACGCCUAGCGCAGCGCCUGGGAGCGGGUGGAGUUCUGUCAGUAAGUUGGGGUGAGGGACGAUGAGGCGACCUCGCGAAGUCUGGCAGGGAUUCAGAGACUCAGACGCAGCCCCCAAGGCUCCUACUACCACAUCAGGCUUCUGGUUCCUCGAUUUCCAGGGUGGGGUAAAGAAACAGAAGAUUCAUGUCUGUGGUGGAGAAAACUGGAGAAGGCUGGGGGCUGUAAGUGGGGACGCUCUGCGGGAUAGUUCUGCCAUAAUGUCAUCCAGAGUCAGAAGGGCAAAGUAACAACAAAAAAAGGAAAAGGAAUAUUUCAAGUUAAUAAUACUUCAUAAUAUAAUUAUAAAAUGCCAUAAGAUCUCAAACCAAAAACAGGUAAAGAGGACUAAGUAGAAUAUUUUGAAGAAAAAACACACCACUAGAAUCAAGACAAUAACAUUUAGUAAAAUUGAAAACAAACAGAAAAGUUCUUAAAGAUCAUGGAAAGAAAGAACGUGGUAGUAACAGCAACAAACAGAUUAAUUCAGAAAAGGGCAAGAAUUAGAUUGACAGCAAUCUUCUGGAAAGUGACACUGGGUUACAAAAGUGUCCGUGGAAUUGUACUGUUAGAGUGCUAAAGAAAAACUUUUUGAACCUAAUAUUUAUUUAUAUUCCUGUAAACUGUUGCUUAAAUUUUAAAAGAAAGAUACAUCAACACACUCAAUUUAAAAAUAAGACUUAGAUGAUGUAUUAUGGCAAGAACAAUGGUGACUUCAGGAGGAUAUUACAAUAUGGAAGGAAAGAUGAGUAAAGUCUUAGGCAAAUUCGUUGUCUAAAUAAUUGAUACAUAUUGUGAGGGGUAAAAAGAGAAGAACAGAGAGAGAUGUGUUGUAAAUUUCUUGUCUUGCUUGGAUAAAAAAACAUAGAUAUUCAAUAUCACUAGAUGUUGGAAAAGAGUGUUAGCAUAACUGUAUGUAAGUAAGUUAGGUAGCUACGAUAAGAAUAAAACAGAAUAUAACAUGUUCAUGUUGGCUAAGGAAAACUUAACCUAUCCAAUGGAAGAUGCCAGUAAAGAAAAACAAAACAAAACGAAAAAACAAAUGAAGCAAGAAAGCAACAUAAGGCGGGGCGCGGUGGCUCACGCCUGUAAUCCCAGCACUUUGGGAGACAGAUGCGAGAGGAUCACAAGGUCAAGAGAUCGAGACCAUCCUGGCUAACACGGUGAAACCCCGUCUUACUAAAAAUACAAAAAUUUGCUGGGCAUGAUGGUGCAUACCUGUAGUCCCAGCUACUCAGGAGGCUGAGGCAGAAUUGCUUAAACCCCAGAGGCGGAGGUUGCACUCAGCUGAUAUUGCACCACUGCACUCCAGCCUGGCCGACAGAAUGAGACUCCUUCUCAAAAGUGUGCUAGAAAUCAUGAAAAAAUGAUAGAAAUAAUCAUAAAUCUAUAUGGGAUAAAUGUAUCAGUGAGAAGAGAAAUGUUUCUGAUUAGAUAUCAACUAAAAUCAAAUUCAUCAACAUGUCUGCAAAGGCACAUUUAACACAAUUUAUAUACACAUUGAGAAUAUGUGACUCCAAAAAGAUAUUCAAGUCUAGCAAGUAUACCGGGAUGACAAUUCUAUACUAGGCAGAAAGCAUCAAAGCAAAACAAUUAUAAGCAAAUAAUGUCAUUGUGUAGUGUUAGAAAAAAAAGUCAAGUUAAUAUAGUUGUUCCAAAUACAUAUGCAGCUAAAAUUUAGCCUCAAACUGUUUUCUAGAAUGAAAAAUAACAAACAUCAUGUUAAAUAAUAGUUGUAGUUGGAAAACUUUAACACAAUCCUCUCAGAAACUGACUGAUUAAAACAGAUUUUAAAAUUAGCAAAUAUUAAGAAUAUAUGAAUAAAAUCUGUUUAUUUUAUUUAGAUAAGUAGGAAUUUAAUUUUAACAAAAAUAAACUCCCAUAAAACAUUUAUUUAAAAUAAGCAUUUCUUGGCAAAAAGAAUAUAAAUUCAAAGAGUUAACAUACCGAUUAUAGCCUAUGAGAUAUAAGAAUAUAACAAACGGAUAUCCAAAGUACAGCCUAAUGUCACAUGCCUGAAAAUUAAAUAAUGCUUACAACAAUAAUACAGUUAUGUAAUACAUGGUUCUUAGAUCAAAUUGAAAUGAUGAAAGUAUACUAUGUAUAGCUUAAUGAUAAGUAUAUAACAACGCAUAUCUAAAUGUGUGAUCAACAGAUGUCUAAAUCCACAGCCUGUUGUAAAGUAACAUUUAGAAGAAAACUUUCAGUUUUUAAUACAACAGCAUAAAAUACUUGGUACAGAACAACACAGUAAACUAAAGAAAAAGGAAAAAUACAUAUAGAAAAUACUAGAAAUCAAUUAAGCAGACAAGAAUCAGAAUACUUAUUAAAAGUAAAUUCGAGUUAUUUGAAAAAAUUAG
ensembl:lncRNA